UACGUAGGGUGCGAGCGUUAAUCGGAAUUACUGGGCGUAAAGCGUGCGCAGGCGGCGAGGUAAGACAGGUGUGAAAUCCCCGGGCUUAACCUGGGAACUGCAUUUGUGACUGCAUCGCUGGAGUGCGGCAGAGGGGGAUGGAAUUCCGCGUGUAGCAGUGAAAUGCGUAGAUAUGCGGAGGAACACCGAUGGCGAAGGCAAUCCCCUGGGCCUGCACUGACGCUCAUGCACGAAAGCGUGGGGAGCAAACAGG
rnacentral:rRNA from 1 species